CAGGUGGCGCUGGGUGGAACAUCUUACUCACUUUUGCAAAGAAUAGGUGCAAUAUUGCUUAAUGGCACCAAACUCUUUGCAGUUGGGAGCACUGCAUCCCUGAAGGAAACACGUAAGAUAGGGUAUAUGGAGCAUGUUUGAAGGACUUUUUCAAGUUGGUGUAGGUGUAACAAAUGCAUUGAUAAAUGCACUUAAAGCUUUCGAUAAAUCGUUUGCUAGUGAAGCAGAGGAUGUGCCCAUAUUGUCAACAACUGUUGCCUACGGUGUCUACAUGGCAGUUUCUAGCAACCUAAGGUACCAAAUUCUUGCAGGAGUUAUCUAGCAAAGGAUGCUAGAGCCCUUGUUACACCACCACAAGCUUGUCCUUAGUGGAAUCUGCUUCGCUGUUAGAACCAGCAACACAUUUUUGGGGUCAUUGAUGUAGGUGGAUUGUGCUCAUUUUCUUGGAAUUCAAAAGUCACGAGAAUGAGUACAACUUGAAUAUUUUUUGUCAAUCUUUGUUUAUGAAGAGAUUGUGAGUUUUCAACUGAAUCACAGUUGAUCAAAGCUGAUCACCUGGAGUAUCUUUGGUGUCAUUUUUUUUUCAAAAUGUUGAAACUAGAUUUGUGCACCCUCAAAUGAGGUGCAAUGUUUGCGGCUUACAGUAUUCCGAAACCCUCGGAUCUGUUAAUAAAAUUUUUUGGUUCCAGGAA